AGUGAACGCUGGCGGUAGGCCUAACACAUGCAAGUCGAACGGCAGCACAGUAAGAGCUUGCUCUUACGGGUGGCGAGUGGCGGACGGGUGAGGAAUACAUCGGAAUCUACUUUUUCGUGGGGGAUAACGUAGGGAAACUUACGCUAAUACCGCAUACGACCUACGGGUGAAAGCAGUGGAGCUUCGGACCUUGCGCGAUUGAAUGAGCCGAUGUCGGAUUAGCUAGUUGGCUGGGUAAAGGCCCACCAAGGCGACGAUCCGUAGCGGAUCUGAGAGGAUGAUCAGCCACACUGGAACUGAGACACGGUCCAGACUCCUACGGGAGGCAGCAGUGGGGAAUAUUGGACAAUGGGCGCAAGCCUGAUCCAGCCAUACCGCGUGGGUGAAGAAGGCCUUCGGGUUGUAAAGCCCUUUUGUUGGGAAAGAAAAGCAGCAGGUUAAUACCCCGCUGUUCUGACGGUACCCAAAGAAUAAGCACCGGCUAACUUCGUG
rnacentral:rRNA from 1 species